GUAUACAUGUAUGUAAGAAUGUAUUUAUGUAUGUGUAUGUGUACAGUAUGCAUGUAUGUACAGUAUGUAUGUGCACUGGCGUCUGGUCAUUGGCUAACUUGUCACCAGAAAGAACUGUGCAAACAAACAAGUGUUAUUAUUAAUUCACAAAUCUGUUAUAAUUUAUUAUCUAUGAAUAAAGCAUCUUGCUAAAUUGCUAAAUUGUUAAGAUUUUAGUUCACGUUUAUUGUUCUUUGACUUGCUGCUUCAGACUGCGUUCUCCCGAUUCGUGUCUGCAGCAGGCCUACGGUGGCUAGCGUGGAUGAGGGGCUAGCCCCAUCCUCACAAUGCAAUGUGUAUGUGUAUUGUAUGUGGGAAAAUAUUAAUACACAUGCUCCAUUUCAUUUCAUUUCAUGCAUUUCAUGUUUCACAGUUGAUUGGCUAAGCCUGUCACUCAGUCACUCAGACAGCCAACGAGUUAGACUAGUCACCAGCUAACGUAAAUUUGAGAAAAUGAACAAAGUGGAUUACAUACUGGAGCACAGGUUUGAAACCCCAACUUUGGAGGAGAAAGUGGAAAUAAAGCACAUUGGAGCCCACCAGCCACGGGAUGUCACUUUCACUCAAAGUGCUGGUAAAGUUAACCGCGGAUUAACGUUGAGUGGUUUUCAAAGAAAAAGUGGCUAAUGGUUCGCUUACAGAAGAAGUCACUCUUCUGUUUUCCGUGUCUGCUAUUCGUUAGAGAUGGUACUUGGUUGAGGACGGGUGAAAGCAUUUUAAAACAUCUUUCUGAGAGGAUUGCAAAACACAAGCGCAGCAGGAGUCAUCUGAACAACGCUGUAAAAUUGGGACUACUUGGGAGAGUAAACGUUGCUACACAAAUUGACACUGCAUACAGGUGCUCCAUUGAGCAGCACAACAAACAGGCGGAGGAAAACAGGGCGACAUCUGAGUCAGAGAGGAACUUUUCAAAAUUGACGAGAAUAAAAACUUUCACCCACAAUACCAUGGGACAGCCACGACUCAACGCACUGGCCAUGCUAUCCAUCGAAAGCCAGCGGAUUCAGCAGCUACAGGACCUCAAGGUGAUUGAGAAGUUUGCCCAGAGGAAAAAACGCCAUGCCGCCUUUCUCUUCAAGUGAGCCCUCAGCUAUGGUUGAGAAGACGAAGAGGAGACACAGCAAGAGUGUAAGGAGCAGAGUGUAAGCAGAGAUGUUUUCAAGCCAAACAGCAUUUCCUUUGUCACGUGGACUGUGCAACUCGAGUUGAAAUUGGUGAACACUUGUAGCACACCCAUCCAAUUUUUCUUUUUUUUUGGGGGGGGGGGGGGUACUGCAGUACAAACAGAGAAAACAUCUUGAAACUCUGCAUCAUUUUUGUGGCAGAACAUCAAACCACAGUAGAGUAAAGCAGCCAAACAGCACACAUUCUGUACCUACUUAAAACCACAAGAGGUCGCUGUCACAGCACACAACAGCCUAUUUCUUCUGUUUGCAGGGUCAAUUAACUCAACUGAGACCUGAAAAAUGGAAGAAUCUGCUACUCUGAUCACCUACUGUCAAACCACCACUGACCUUGUCAAACCACUGAUUCCCUGGUCUUCUGAUAUUUUGUUUAAAUUCUUCUAUUUGAAGUUCUUAUUCAAUUAGCUGUUAAAAGUGUCCUCUGAAAAUCAGCAAUGUUUCAUAAACACAACACAACAAACUAAAAUGACUGUCUCAGAACUGUCUCCAUUUUCUCUGUAAUAGAUUUGAAUUUUCUCAAUAAUUUUGUUUUGCACAAAAUUUGGCUGUGACUGAUCUAUUAAAUACACCCUUAUAAAGUAUGUUAUUACAGUAAAACAACAGUAAAAUGCUGCAUACACAUUGAUGCAUCAGUAUUAACAAUCUUAUAAUAUCAUAAAAUAAUGUCACAGGGGACAUUUUACUGCAGAAUGAAUACUUUAGCUACAUUUAGCUUAUAAUACUUAUUUACUUUUACUUAAGUAGGAUUUUGAAUGCAGGAACUUUACUUAUAAUGGAGUACUUUGAAACUGUGGCAUCGCUACUUUUAAGUAUAUGAUCUGAGUACUUCUUCCACCAGUGUGUGUGUGUGUGUGUGUGUUUGAUGGCUAAUACAACACUGAUCCAUUUAAAAUGGAUAAAUAGAAUUCUAAUACCAAAAAUAAAGUUAACUUUACAUCAGAAUAAAAUAAAUACACAAACCAAAAAAUGUGAAUACAUUCUGUGUGUGUCACAAUAAGCAAAAUGUGACACAGAUUGUUCCUGUUGCAUUUCAUAGAAAAGUCUGUGAUUUCAGUGUUGGGAAGUAAAUUGAAUUUAAUCAAAUAAUGUAUUUAAGUAUAAU